rnacentral:rRNA from 1 species
CCUACGGGGGACAGCAGUGAGGAAUAUUGGUCAAUGGGCGCGAGCCUGAACCAGCCAAGUCGCGUGAGGGAAGACGGUCCUAUGGAUUGUAAACCUCUUUUGUCGGGGAGCAAAAGACGCCACGCGUGGCGUUCCGCGAGUACCCGAAGAAAAAGCAUCGGCUAACUCCGUGCCAGCAGCCGCGGUAAUACGGAGGAUGCGAGCGUUAUCCGGAUUUAUUGGGUUAAAAGGGUGCGCAGGCGGAAGAUCAAGUCAGCGGUAAAAUUGAGAGGCUCAACCUCUUCGAGCCGUUGAAACUGGUUUUCUUGAGUGAGCGAGAAGUAUGCGGAAGGCGUGGUGUAGCGGUGAAAUGCAUAGAUAUCACGCAGAACUCCGAUUGCGAAGGCAGCAUACCGGCGCUCAACUGACGCUCAUGCUCGAAAGUGUGGGUAUCGAACAGGAUUAGAUACCCCUGUAGUC